rnacentral:rRNA from 1 species
UAUGUGAUCGUCUCUCGCAUAUCAAUAAGCGGAGGAAAAGAAACUAACAAGGAUUCCCCUAGUAACGGCGAGUGAAGCGGGAAGAGCUCAAAUUUGAAAUCUUAAAGGGUUUCCCUUUACGAAUUGUAGUUUAAAGAAGUGUUUUCUGUUGAGGUUUUGGUAAAAGUUCUUUGGAAUAGGACAUCAUAGAGGGGUGAGAAUCCCGUAUUUGACCUUCUACUUUCAACUUUGUGAUACACUUUCAAAGAGUCGGAUUGUUUGGGAAUGCAGUCCAAAAUGGGUGGUAAAUUUCAUCUAAAGCUAAAUAUUGGCGAGAGACCGAUAGCGAACAAGUACCGUGAGGGAAAGAUGAAAAGAACUUUGAAAAGAGAGUUAAACAGUACGUGAAAUUGUCAAAAGGGAAGCGUUUGACACCAGUGUUGUUUUUCUGAAAAUCAAUUAAAGAACUGUUUAUGCUAAGCUGUUUAGACUUUAUCAGCUAUCUGUUUAGUUUUGAGCUUUUCUUUAAUGCACUUUUCAGUUAACAAGUCAACAUCAAUUUCUUUUGCUGUAAAAAAGCUUGAGGAAGGUGGCUUGAGAUUCGUCUUAAGUGUUUAUAGCCUCUUGCCUAUGCAGUCGGAGAGAUUGAGGUCUGCAGCGUAGAUCCUUCGGGACUAAAUGCAUUUGUGCUAAGUUGUAGCAUUUUAUAGACAACUUGUUGACUAUGAUUUGUCUUGUAGCUUACUCGCUUAUGUUAUUUUACCUACGCUUAGGAUGUUGAGCGCAUGUCUCUCUCU